rnacentral:rRNA from 1 species
GAUGAACGCUGGCGGCGUGCUUAACACAUGCAAGUCGAACGGAAAGGCCCAAGCUUGCUUGGGUGCUCGAGUGGCGAACGGGUGAGUAACACGUGGGUGAUCUGCCCUGCACUUUGGGAUAAGCCUGGGAAACUGGGUCUAAUACCGGAUAGGACCAUCGUUUAGUGUCGGUGGUGGAAAGUUUUUCGGUGUGGGAUGAGCUCGCGGCCUAUCAGCUUGUUGGUGGGGUAAUGGCCUACCAAGGCGUCGACGGGUAGCCGGCCUGAGAGGGUGUACGGCCACAUUGGGACUGAGAUACGGCCCAGACUCCUACGGGAGGCAGCGGUGGGGAAUAUUGCACAAUGGGCGCAAGCCUGAUGCAGCGACGCCGCGUGGGGGAUGACGGCCUUCGGGUUGUAAACUCCUUUCGCCAAGGACGAAGCGUUUUGUGACGGUACUUGGAGAAGAAGCACCGGCUAACUACGUG